UAUCUCUGUAGAGUCUGCAUAUCAAUAAGCGGAGGAAAAGAAACUAACUAAGGAUUCCCUUAGUAACGGCGAGUGAAGCGGGAAGAGCUCAAAUUUGAAAUCUUCAAGGUUCUACCUUGACGAAUUGUAGUUUAUAGAAGUGUUUUCUGUAGUGGAGUUUGGCUAAAAGUUCUUUGGAAUAGGACAUCAUAGAGGGUGAGAAUCCCGUAUUUGGAUCAUUUCCUUCCUAGCUGUGUGAUACACUUUCAAAGAGUCGGAUUGUUUGGGAAUGCAGUCCAAAAUGGGUGGUAAAUUUCAUCUAAAGCUAAAUAUUGGCGAGAGACCGAUAGCGAACAAGUACCGUGAGGGAAAGAUGAAAAGAACUUUGAAAAGAGAGUUAAACAGUACGUGAAAUUGUCAAAAGGGAAGCGUUUGACACCAGUGUUGUUUUCUCGAAAAUCAAUUAAAAAUGGCGGGAUUUUGUGUUGUAUUGACUUUAUCAGCUUCCUGCACUUUUUUCUUGUCUUUUUUAAUGCACUUUUCGUUUAACAAGUCAACAUCAAUUUCUUUUGUUGUAAAAGGGUCAUUGGAAGGUGGCUUUCUUUUCGGAGAAAGUGUUUAUAGCCUUUGACUUCUGCAAUCGGAGAGAUUGAGGUCUGCAGCGUAGAUCCUUCGGGGUUAGAUGCAUCUGUGCUAAGUUAUAGCCUUUCAUAGACAACUUGUUGACUAUGAUCAGUCAUGUAGCUUACUCGCUUAUGUUAUUUUACCUACGCUUAGGAUGUUGAACGCGCACAGAGUCUC
rnacentral:rRNA from 1 species